CAGGAAAGGGUGGAACUUGGCCUCGCAA
rnacentral:piRNA from 1 species